rnacentral:misc_RNA from 1 species
GCAGCCCACGCAGUUCGUGCGUGAUUGCGGGCCGGAGGAGAGAGAUAUGCACAAGAGAGGAUAUCUGCCACGCCUUCCGACGUCACUCAUGCUUCGCAAAGAGUGACGUCAGCAUCUCUCAGCUUUUUCUUUCCUCCAUGGUCAGAGCACCCGCAGAUAUAGAAGGCCCGCUUGCACGCACUGAGCAUAGUUACGUAAUCGGUUUUUAGGAAACCCCAUGCUUCUCUUCGCGGUCUCGCAAUGGCGAAAGUUGCUUCCUUUGAAUGUCAGUACUGCGACCUGCGGUUAGCGAACAAUCGCAGUCUGCAGAGGCACAUAAAACUUGUGCACAAAAUCACUCACCCGAAGUACAACUGCGACGAGUGUGAAGUAGCCCCGACUUUGAAAGAACUGGAGUACCGCCAUAUCAGCGUGCAUUUCUUCGAGCCAGAAUAUGAGAGGUAUCACUUUCUGACAAUGCCAGCUUUCAAGUCAUUGAAGGAAAAGGUGGAGAAAGACACACGCAGUCACUUCAUUGCAAGGACAGGUACAGAGACUUGCGGCCACCUGAAAAAGAAGCAUUUCUACUUCGUCUGUCACCGGUCAGGAAGUUAUGCUUCACAAGCUACAAGUAAACAAAAGCUGAAGCGGCCUUCAAGUGUCAAGUGUGGAAAAAGAUGUUUUGCGGCAAUGGCUGUGACUGAAGACAACACAGGUGUGUAUGUGGUUUUCCAAUUCAAGCACAGAGGCCACGACUUUGAACUGGGUCGUGUUUUUCUGUCCAAGUCGGAAAGAGCUGCUAUUGCUGACAAGCUGCGAGAAGGCGUGUCCAUGGAUGCAGUACUGGAUAAUGUGCGGUCCAACGUGGAUGAGACAUUCCACCGCAUUAACCUGUUAAGCAAGCAGGAUCUCCGCAAAAUAAUGAGGGAUGCCAGAGUCUUGAAGACCGAGCGGCUGCACGAUAAUGACUAUGUGAGCGUGCAACUCUGGGUUGAGAGGAUGCAUAGUGAAAAGGAAAACCCAUUGCUCUUCUUUAAACACCAAGGACAACCUGACAAAAAGUGACAUUUUUUUAGAGAAAAAAAUGAGGACCUUUUGGAUGACAGAGAUUUUAUGCUAGUCAUCAUGACCACACCACAACAGGAGCUUUUCAAGAGGCUUGGAACUGAUCGUAUAUGUGUCGAUGGAACACAUGGAACAGCAGAUCCACUGGCCACUGUAAUCACCAUGGCGGGAACGCUAGGCCUAGGUAUGCUAUUACGGUUCUUGACAUUCGGUGCUGUCUUUUUCAUUGAAAGAAUUCACCGCUGUCAGCAAAGGUACCCACUCUGCCUCUGCAAUCCUCGUAAAGCACGGCGCGUUGCAUAUUGCUAGUCCUCGAAAGGCAGCUUUGCCUCAGCACAGUGAUGCUACGCGGUGAAGUGUAUGGGACGCAGCACAUAUAUUGUUAGACUCACGUGCACUUGCAGUCUCCUGUCAGAGUGCAAGCACCUAUAUGCCUAAUAAGUGUACUGGCAGACCUUCAGAGCUUUUACGGACGUGCCUGUGGCGAUUUGGGCCCUUAAGGGCAGUAAAAGACAUGCAUUCAUUUUUUUUUCGGACAUUGUAGCGGCCCUUAGGGAGUCUGAAAAAUCGGACUGUACAACUGACCAAAAGGAUGCUUCAUCCAUGGGGCGAACACGCAGCGUAACAAGGACAAGAAUAGGAAGGACCAUUGCAUCGAGGAAUGAUCAGGAAAGGAACUGUGCCGCCGCCUCUUUGAAGGAGCUUGCGCUCAAAAAGCAAAGUGUUGGCUGACGCUAAGAUGCAGGUUACCCACAUCCAAACCAAAAUAAAUCUCUUAAAGCAAUGAAAUGCAACACUGAGGCAUUAUGGGCAGGCUGAGAGUAUGUCAAGACAGUUGAGGUUGACUUUCCAGUUGCUUGGAGAAUCUCAUAUGUGACAAAGUUCGGGCAUGAUACCAAUGAGCUUGCUAUCAGUUGAUACAAAUAGCUAUUUGCUUUUGUAUGCAUCUCUUUUUAUUCGCAUUUUAAAAUGUUUGACUCUAUUUGCCGUGAGCUAGACCACUUUUUUUACAGUGAAGCUGUCUAUGGUGAGGAUCUGGCAGAUCGCAUUUGCACAUAGACCAACAAUUUUUCAUACGGUGGGCCGAUCCCGAAGAAAGUGCAAUACCAGGCCAACCCGAGGCAGAAGUGAAGCAAGCAUUAAGCACUCCCCAUAUGUGGGCUGAUCCCGAAGGUCGUGAAAUGCCAGUCAAACCUGCGGCGGAGAUGAAGCAGGCUUUAAGCACUCCCCCACACAUGGGCCAAUCCCAUAGGUAGUGCAAUACCAGGCCGACCCGCGGUAGAGGUGCAGUUCACCAUUAAGGGGCCCACGUACGCAGCUUUGCUGGUCAUCCUUCACAGAGUAAAAGGGCACCGAGUUUCUUCCGAAGAUAUUUUAGUAGCUGUGCAUUUUACAAACCCCUCUUUUCAGUUUUCUAUUUUGAAUAAAAUAAACACUACUCCUUACUGUUCAAA